rnacentral:tRNA from 1 species
GGGCCGGUGGUCUAGUCUGGUAGGACAUCGCCUUGACGUGGCGAGAGUCGCUGGUUCAAGUCCGGCCCGGCCCACCA